rnacentral:rRNA from 1 species
GACGUAGGGCGCGAGCGUUGUCCGGAUUUAUUGGGCGUAAAGAGCUCGUAGGCGGCUUGUCGCGUCGUCCGUGAAAACUUGGGGCUCAACCCCAAGCUUGCGGUCGAUACGGGCAGGCUCGAGUUCGGUAGGGGAGACUGGAAUUCCUGGUGUAGCGGUGAAAUGCGCAGAUAUCAGGAGGAACACCGAUGGCGAAGGCAGCCCCCUGGGCCGACACUGACGCUCAGGCACGAAAGCG